rnacentral:sRNA from 1 species
AUUUGUAGCUCAUGAGGAUGAGAACCUCCGGGGGCGGGGAGGUUCGACUCGAGCGAAGCGAGAGAACGUUGCGCCAGCAACGGCCCGCAGGGCGAGCCACGAAGUGGCGAGUAAUCCUCUGGCACCGACCA